rnacentral:lncRNA from 1 species
UUUUUUUUUUUUUGGCUUGCCUAUAAUAUAUCAGUAGUAAGCUUGGUAAUUAUACCAAAGUAUUUUACCAAUGAAUUUUCAUACAGGAAGAGGGAAUCAUUAAUGACCCCACACCACAGUAGGCAGAACCUUCCUUGCCAAAGAUGAGCAAAUACUAAUCUCUGGAAAUGUGAACACAUUAUAGACCUUAAAAUUGGGGCAUUAUCUAUCCAGGUGAAUUCAGUUUCAUCAUAUGAGCCCAUAAAAGCAGAGAACUUUCCCUGGCUAGAAGCAGAAGUGGAAGGCAGAGAGAUGCAGCAGAAGAGAAUGAGAUUAGAAGUGUGAUAGCAACUCCCCCUCUGCUUUUGCUGGAAGAAGGGUCACAUGAACCUAUGAGAAGGAAUGCAGGCAGUGUGUAGAAGCAAAGAACCAUCACUACUGAUAGUCAGCAAGGACCUUAGUCCUGAAACAACAAGGAACUGCAUUUAUCCAACCACAUGGAAGAGCUUGGAAGUGGGUUUUUCCCUGGAGCUUCUGGAAAGUAAUAUAGGACAGUGACACCUGCAUUUAGUCCUUAUAAGACUUGGAGUGGAAGCCUGCGCUAAGCGGCACUGUGUCCAGACUUCUGAUCUAUGGAAUCAUGGGUAAUUAACGGGUGUUUUUUUAAAGCUACUAUGUUUGUGGGAAUUUGUUACACCAGCAAUAGGAAACUAAUACAUCCUCAUUGCUUGGAGAAAAAAGACUGAAGGAGGCAAUAAAGCAGGUGACUCCAUACCCAGCCUCCUCACUCUUGCAGGUCCUCAGAGGCAGAAGACCAGAGAAGGGGCCAUGUGCUGGAAAGGGGUGCGCCUCUGGAAGGAGGUCUUUGCACAGGAUGUUCUACCCACCUGGGUGUCAAUACGUUAUCUCUCGGUAAAGGCAACUUGGAGUUCCCGUCGUGGCGCAGUGGUUAACGAAUCCGACUAGGAACCAUGAGGUUGCGGGUUCGGUCCCUGCCCUUGCUCAGUGGGUUAACGAUCCGGCGUUGCCGUGAGCUGUGGUGUAGGUUGCAGACGCGGCUCGGAUCCCGCGUUGCUGUGGCUCUGGCGUAGGCUGGUGGCUACAGCUCCGAUUCAACCCCUAGCCUGGGAACCUCCAUAUGCUGCGGGAGCGGCCCAAGAAGUAGCAACAACAACAACAAAAGACAAAAG